UAGUUGAUGAAGGCGAUGUUCACAUAAAGCCAGUUUAAAAAAAAACAGUUCCCACGCUGAGAUGUUAAAAUGCUCACCUCCCCAUCAAAGCAAUUUUCUAAGUACACGCUCCACUUAUUCUUGUUAUGAAGGUUAAACCUGAUAAAGUGAACAAAAUUAUUGGUUCUGGGGUAAAAAGGUCAAGAGCAUUAUUGAAGAGACUGGUGUGGAAUCUAUUGAAACUCAAGAUAAUGGAAUGGUCAAAAUAACGUCAAGAGAUUUGACAAGCUUAGAAAAGACUAAAGCUAUUAUUAGUAACUUGACAAUGGUUCCAAUUGUUGGUGAUAUAUACAGUGUAGUUUGUAAUUAGAGUUGGCAAGCUGGGCUGGUAGGAUAAAAGAUCAAAAGGAUGAUGGCAGCGAUCAGGAAGAUCAUUCGGUUGCUGAAAACAUAGCGAAGCACAUAGAAGUUGCAGAUAAAUAUGAUAGCGGCGACAUGUGGGACUUUUAGCGGCGACAAUUGUCGUCGCUAAGCUCUGUUUUCCUGUUGAAUAUAGUGAAUUGGCUCAUACGGCGACACUAAGGAAUAAGUGCAGGGAACAACUGUGAAGCGGGAAAUACGAUCGCUAAGAGAGAGUUAACACAAUGAAUAUUUUACUUGCAUGAAGAUUGUGAAAGAGAUUCAUGAACGCAAUGAAGUUUUGAGUUAUUGUUCAAACAUUUUUUAAAUAUUUGUUUUGUAUGUUCGAUGUUUAUACUUAGGUUGACACUUAUUAGUUAUUUCUUUGCAAACAUUUGGAAUCUUUGGAAGAUGAUUGAUUGAACUUUUUAGUUGAAUUGAUUAUAUUAUUAUGA